rnacentral:rRNA from 1 species
AUUGAACGCUGGCGGCAGGCCUAACACAUACAAGUCGAGCGGAUGAGUGGAGCUUGCUCCAUGAUUCAGCGGCGGACGGGUGAGUAAUGCCUAGGAAUCUGCCUGGUAGUGGGGGACAACGUUUCGAAAGGAACGCUAAUACCGCAUACGUCCUACGGGAGAAAGUGGGGGAUCUUCGGACCUCACGCUAUCAGAUGAGCCUAGGUCGGAUUAGCUAGUUGGGGAGGUAAAGGCUCACCAAGGCGACGAUCCGUAACUGGUCUGAGAGGAUGAUCAGGUACACUGGAAAUGAGGCACCGUCCAGAAUCCUACGGGAGGCAGCAGUGGGGAAUAUUGGACAAUGGGCGAAAGCCUGAUCCAGCCAUGCCGCGGGUGUGAAGAAGGUCUUCUGAUUGUAAAGCACUUUAAGUUGGGAGGAAGGGCAGUAAGUUAAUACCUUGCUGUUUUGACGUUACCAACAGAAUAAGCACCGGCUAACUUCGUGCCAGCCGCCGCCGUAACAC